rnacentral:rRNA from 1 species
GACGUAGGGCGCGAGCGUUGUCCGGAUUUAUUGGGCGUAAAGAGCUCGUAGGCGGCUUGUCGCGUCGUUCGUGAAAACCUGCAGCUCAACUGCAGGCUUGCGGUCGAUACGGGCAGGCUAGAGUUCGGUAGGGGAGACUGGAAUUCAUGGUGUAGCAGUGAAAUGCGUAGAGAUCAUGAGGAAGACCAGUGGCGAAGGCGGGUCUCUGGACAGUUCCUGACACUGAGGCACGAAGGCCAGGGGAGCAAACGGG